UUAGCUUGCUCUUCUCGCGGGGCGCGUGCGGGCGCGCGGCGAGCUCGUGGCGGAGGCGCCGCACCGGGCCACCGCCAGGACCCUGCGGAGCACCGACGGGGGGGAUCUCUGCCGUUCUGCCCCGAGAAAGCGGCGCUAACCUCGCUGCCGCUGCGGAGGAAACACCGGCGCUCCGCCCGGGUUCGCCUGGGCGCCCCCCAGCCGCGGCCGGCCCCGGGGACGCCCGCGGGUUCCCGCCCCGGCCGCGCACCCCCGGAAAGGGCAGCGCCGAGGAAGGAGCCCUUCAGCCUCCUCCUCCUCCUCCUCGCCGGAGGAAAGCCCCGCCGCCGCCAUGCGCUGGUGGCUGCCGCUGGCGCUGGCGGCGCUGAGCCGCUCUGCCGAGGAGCCCGACUUCGCCUGCUUCAAGCAAUGCGGCUCGCGCAGCUUCCUCUGCCGCUGGCCACCCUGGGGCCCCGACGGCAACACCACCUAUGUCCUCACGCUCUGCUACGCGGUGCCGCGGCUGUGCCAGCGGCACGCGGCGGGCGCCCUCCCGGAGCGCACGCUGCAGCACCGCCAGGUCUACGUGCUCACCAACGCCACGGCCUGGGUGGAGGCGCGCUGGGGCCGGCGCCUGCAGCGGAGCCGCAACCUCACGCUCUACCUCGACGAGGCC
rnacentral:lncRNA from 1 species